CUUGCCUGACUCAGCAAUAUUUGUGCUCUCGUGAUGUUGUCCAACCUUAAAUGUUUGGGAAUAUCACGUGACAAGUGACUUCCUCUCUAGACAUUGGACAUGCAAGAACUCUGAAAACCGCUGUACUAUGCCCAUCUGUGUCUCGCCUACGCCCACGCAAUGCUGUAGCGGUACUGAAGCAAGGCAUCUUUUUAGAAGGACAGAGAAGUGCCUUGGCCUCAGGGAUAUUGCACAGGGCUAUGCCAGUUAGUACUAUGCUCUUAGUACCUAGUAUAGUUGUAACCUUAACCUAGAAGUGUCUACUAAAGGAGUUUCAUGAGUUUUUUUAAGCUUUCCUUGACUGGCUGAGGAUUGUGGGAUUUUUUUAUCUCUCCAAAAAGAAGUACAGCCUGUUUGAGAUUGAAGACAAGUACAGUGUUAUACGAAUGGAUCGGCAAGUUUUUUGGGGAAGAGUUAUGAGAGAAUAAACGAUGGAAGUGUCAGUUGUGGAAGACCCAAGGUACUCAAACUGAUACUGUUUUUAAUCUCAGAUUGUGUGCAUCUGAUGAUGCUUCUUCAGAGUUUACAUCGGCAGACUGUAGCACGUUCGCUGAACCACUAUAUACCAAAGAGGACGUUCAAGAAAAUUGCAUCAUUAUUUCUGUCUUUACAUCACGAGUAGACAUACAAUAAUUAUGUUAAAUUGUUUGUAUAAUGAAUUGUUUAUGAUCUAGAUCUAUAAAAGAGAAGUUAACAUGUUCUUGAACUUCUAUUAACACUG